GAUUUCUUAAUAAACACAUUGACCACAUUAGCAGUAUGUCUGUUGACCUGGUGAACAGCUUCAGAACAAUUAUCAACUCCUAGGACACCGCUAACUGUUAGCACACUUACCAAGCAUACAACUUUUUUGGCUUUGGAAUUGAAACAAAGGGAAUAUGAAAGUGGAAAAAAUAUGAAGUCUCCAAGAUGUGUCAAGAACAAGUGCUUACAUCUAUUAUCCUCAGGUCGCCAUCUCGGUGUGCACGGAGCCGGCUUCAGAUUCAUUCUCUCCCCUGCCCCCACUCCUGCCAUUCCCCCCCUCAAAUAAAUAAGCC